ACCCUUUUAGUAAAAAUAAGUACAGCUGACUUCCAAUUAGCAAGUUCCAGACAAACCUGGAAAAGGGUA
rnacentral:tRNA from 1 species